UACGUAGGGUGCGAGCGUUGUCCGGAAUUAUUGGGCGUAAAGGGCUCGUAGGCGGUCUGUUGCGUCGGUAGUGAAAACUCAGGGCUUAACCCUGAGCCUGCUUCCGAUACGGGCAGACUAGAGGUAUGCAGGGGAGAACGGAAUUCCUGGUGUAGCGGUGAAAUGCGCAGAUAUCAGGAGGAACACCGGUGGCGAAGGCGGCGAUCUGGACGAUGACUGACGCUGAGACGCGAAAGCGUGGGGAGCAAACAGG
rnacentral:rRNA from 1 species